UCAGCUGCAUUAGAAAAAUAAAUGUAAUGGCUUUUCCUGCCAGGAGGGUGCUUCAUAUAAUGGAUUGCUUUGCUGAUGUGACUAAAUACCUUUCUGAUAUUGAUCCACACAGAGGAGGAGAGAAAACCUAAGAAAACUCUUGAAGGCAAUAUAAAGCAGCCAGGAAGACAGACCAGGGCUGUGGCAGCAGAACAGAAUUUAUGCAUUCAGAACAGAUGCAAAAAGCACGUCUGAAAUUACCAAGUCUUUCCAAGAAGAGCCGACAGGCAGACAGAAGAACUGUUUCUUCAUCUCGUAUGUGUCCUCAGCUCCACACGUCCUGGAACAGAUAGUUGAUUCCUCACAUGCUGUGACCAAGGGAAGGUCUCCUAUUCAAAUCUUUGGAGCAUAUUUUAGUAAUCCCUCACCUGGAAAUGCUUGCUGUUAGAUGGUGCUAACCUUCUGGAACGUCUGCAGAAGAGGAAAUUCCAGUCUGAAUACAGCCACCCUUGCUCAUUAUAUCCCCACCUGCAUCCCAGGUGUGGAGCUUCAUGUUUCUUGCUAUGCCCUUAGAACAAAUCUUUCACUGAAUGGUGGAAAUAAGGAGGCACUGGUUUCAAUGACCUACUCAGAAAAAAGAAGGUAGGAGCUCCUGUUUGCAUUCGUUUAUACUCACCAUUAGGCCACAAGCUCUGAUUUUUUUUGUGGGUUUAUAACAUGACUUUCCUGUGUAGACUGCAGAUAAAGACUUAGGGAUAUGACUUAGUGGGUAUUAUUGGUGGUAAGUGGAUGAUUGGACUAGAUGAUCUUAGAGGUCUUUU
ensembl:lncRNA